UCUUCUUGUUCUUGUGUUGUUUUUUCUCCCUCCAACUUUUGUUACUUCUGUAUUAUUAAGCUCACUGGCUCUCGUAUGCCACCGAACCCCUUCCCCGAGUUUUGUCGUCGACUCUGCUAUCUCACACUCAUUCCACUGUGAGUUUCAUGGGCGCCAUUGAUAUUUACAACGCCUCCUCUCUCUGUUUGAUCAAGCGCAACACCGGUUCUGAACAAUUUGUUGCGCCUCAAUUGCACAGACCCAUUUGUUCAUUUGAAGGGAAACGGACACGGGUCUUUGCUAUGACCUCCACUAUUCCUUCCAUACAAGACGUCGAUGAGGGUCAGCAGCGUUUGACCGGUGACUCCUUCAUUCGACCCCAUUUGAGGAAGUUAUCUCCUUAUCAGCCCAUUUUGCCUUUUGAGGUAUUAUCAUCUCGUCUUGGAAGGAAGCCUGAGGAUAUCAUCAAAUUAGAUGCGAAUGAAAACCCCUAUGGUCCUCCCCCAGAGGCAAGUCAUAUACGCCAUUAUAAUUUCUAUGUUUUCGAAGCUUUGGCCUCGAUGAAGUUUCCGUACGUCUAUCCGGACCCUGAAAGCCGCCGUUUGCGUGCUGCCCUUGCCCAAGAUUCAGAACUUGAAUCUGAGUAUAUUCUUGCAGGAUGUGGGGCGGAUGAGCUCAUUGAUUUGAUUAUGAGAUGUGUGCUUGAUCCUGGUGACAAGAUAGUGGACUGCCCUCCAACCUUUACAAUGUAUGAGUUUGAUGCUGCAGUAAAUGGUGCAUUUGUAAUAAAAGUUCCAAGGAAGGCAGAUUUUAGCUUGAAUGUAGAACAAAUAAUAGAUGUUGUUGAAUGGGAGAAACCCAAAUGCAUAUUUUUAACAUCUCCCAACAAUCCAGAUGGGAGUAUAAUUGAUGAUGAAGUUCUCAUGAAAAUCCUUGAGCUUCCCAUAUUGGUUGUGCUGGAUGAAGCAUACAUUGAGUUUUCAGGAAUUGAGUCAAAGAUGAAAUGGGUGAAAAAGCAUGAGAAUUUAAUUGUUCUUCGAACAUUUAGCAAAAGGGCUGGUUUAGCUGGACUUCGAGUGGGAUAUGGAGCAUUUCCAUUGAGUAUUAUUGAGUAUCUUUGGAGAGCAAAGCAACCUUACAAUGUUUCGGUUGCUGCUGAAGUUUCUGCUUGUGCAGCUUUGCAGAAUCCCUCAUAUCUUGAGAAAGUGAAAGAUGCUUUGGUACAAGAAAGGUUGAGGCUUUAUAAUUUUCUGAAGGAAGUGCCAUUCCUCAAUCCAUAUCCAAGCCAUUCUAAUUUCAUUCUUUGUGAGGUUGCAUCUGGAAUGGAUGCUAAGAAGCUAAAGGAGGACCUUGCAAAAAUGGGCGUAAUGAUCCGUCACUACAAUAACAAAGAACUGAAGGGUUAUGUUCGCAUGUCUGUUGGGAAGCCUGAACACACAGAUGCCCUGAUGAACUGCCUUAGACUCCUGUCCUAGUCCUGUGACUGAGCAGGGUCAACAUUUUAGGGAGCAGAAUCUGAUUAAGAGAAGGUGAAUGAUGCGUUCUUGUUUAAUCUAGACAGUUCUCUAUGGGUAUAGUUAAACCUUCUUUGCUAGAGAGGGAGAGCGAAAGGCUCAAUUAUCUUUACAUUUGAAUUCCUAUUUUAUGUGGUUGUUUUUCUUUGCUUCUUCAUAAGAGGAUACUUAUCACUCCCUAGCCCUAGGUCUUAUUGUUAGGAUUGGAUAUCUGUGUGUCGGGAGACACAGGUCUGGGAUUUAUCUGGGUAAAAUAUGUUGUGUUUGCACGGUCUUUGGAAUUCCUUGUCAUAAAAAAAGGAUUGGAGUUUUUUGGGAUUUAAGCCCAUGGCUUAUAAUUCUGGACCGAUUUGGGCUAUUAUUUUGGACUAGUUUUGGUCCAACCUUGCAGAUUGGCUGCCAGCAUAGGGAUUGAUUGAAGAUUAUUGGGUAAAGCAUUGUUUUUAGGCUCAAGAAAGCAGUAGGAAAUGCCCUGGCCGAACCCCUGAGUGGGCUACCAAUCCUAAUUCAAUUAGGAUAAGUCAAGAGACUCUACUAGUCUCUGCUCACUUGGACUCCAAGAUACAUCAGCAAACGCCUAGAGAAGUGGCUGGCCAGUAAAGAUCCAAGAAAAACCCCCAAUUCAUUAGGAAUCUUAAUCCUAGACAGAUUAGGACCCUAUCACCACAUAUCCUGUGAUACCCCAUACUAACUAAUGAAUGUAGGUGGUGUAUGGGAUCCCACAUUUCUUGGGAAUGAGAAAUUCUUUCUCUUUAUAAUGAUUCCAGUUGUACCAUUGACUAGCCCUUUUAAAGUAUGGACCAUGUGUGGCUCAGGCCUUACCUCGGGGUGUUACAAAGGGUAUAAGAGUUUAUCCCAACCAGAAGUGUGGGACGUGAGCCGUGCCACCUAUGAUGGAAUGGCUGUUUGGGAGGGAAGUUCUAGCUCUUUAUAAUUGGCCUAGCGAGCACAUCAGGAAUUUAAGGGGGAGAUUGAUACCUCCAUACUAACUGAUAAGUGUAGGUGGUAUAGCUGCCGCUCUUUGACAGCACUUGCCGCCUUUGGGAGCGCUCUGGUCAUCAGCCCCACAAGCUUCUUGACAGGCGAAGUAAAAAUGCCAAAGCAAAUACAUGAGAUCAAGGAUUUCCUUCUCACUGCAAGAAGGAUGCUCGCUCUGUCCAAAUCAAGAGGAGCAGGGAUGUGGUGAAGUUUAAAGUUCGCUGCUCCAAGAACCUUUGCACUUUGUGUGUGUUUGACUCAGAGAAGGCUGAGAAGUUGAAGCAGUCCCUUCCUCCAGGUUUGAGUGUGCAGGAUCUUUGAAGGAGUGCUAGUUCUUUUGAGUUCCCAUGAGAAGUUGAAACAUUUUUGUUCUUUC